rnacentral:lncRNA from 1 species
ACGAAUUUUCAGGUAGUAAAAAAGCAAUUUUUCUUAUUGGAAAGGAGAAAACUAAGUGGCUGCAAAAUAAUAUAAUUUCCUUAAAGUAAAACAACAGAGAACCAACUUUGCCUUUUUCCACAUUACCCAGUAAUUCUAAGACUCAGGGUUUUGUCAUGUUACAGCAAAUGCUGUUCAUUAGGGGGAAAUUAGAAGUCAGAACAGUGUGUGCUAUUCAAAUUCUCAAUGAAUAAUGAACUCAAAUGGGUUCAGAGUGCUAUAAAAUGAAAUUAAUUUAUUUUUAGUUUAACCCCAAAUCCUCAAUCCCUUGCCAAAUGAUCCUCUAUAUAUCCUACAUAAAGGACAGGGUCUUUCUGGCAGAAAACCAUUGAAGUUUUUAUUUGCAGUAAGAGAAGCAUGCCUUCUUAUUAUGAAACAGGUGCAUGGUUUCUAUGGGGGUCACCCAUCACCCGCGAUCCCUGUGUCACGGUGUUGCCACACACCAUUAACGCAUCAAAACGGAAAAGGAAAUGUAAGCAGUGUUUGCUGUCCAAAGUUCACGUCAACAAUUUCUUAUUAUGAAGGCACUUCUGAACCUUUCCUCCUGCAUCUGGGAGCUGCCAGCAACCCAGUUCCAGGAGAGAAAAUAGCUCGACACCUCCUGCAGCCCGUGGAGUCCUCUUGUUGGGACAAGGUCCCCCCAGGAGAGAGGAGCCCCCAGCAGGGUCAACACUGGAGGGUCAGGGACCACGGAGCCCGGGGCUGUGGACCACACCAGCCCACGGCCACUGCAUGCCCCAGACCAACACGAGAAGAGCGCAGACCAACAACAUCUUCUCACGGUAGGUGCCACGGUUCUCGCUCCUAAGAGAGUCCACGGCCACUUCUACCAGUUGCCCUCCACUCUUCCCCUGCCCCAGCUGGUCCCACUGUGACAGCCGUGUCUCUGAGAAUGGGGUGUGGAGCCAGGGGGAAAACACAAAAUAAACCACCUGCUACUAGAAACGGCCUUGCUGUCCUCAGGGAGCCGGUCCCGGGGCCAGCCUCGCUGGACUCAGGGAGUCGGUUCCAGGACCCCAUGGACACCAAAUCCAGGCACAUUCAAGCCCCACAGGUGGACCUGCCUAACCCGCGUGGUACAAAGAGUCGGCCCUCCCACGCCAAGCCACAUGGCAGGAACACUGUAUUUUCUCCGUGUACAAAGAAUCAGCCCUCCAACAUGAGUUUCACGUGGCAGAACACUGUAUUUUCUCCCAGAGUUUGGCUGAAAAAAUCCACAUAUAAGUUGACCCACAAAGCUGAAGCUUGUGUUGUACAAGAGUCAACUGUAUGCAAUUGACACUGAUUCCUACCAACAAUAUCCAAAUCUUAGCAUGACCAGCACCAUAAACGGAAUGAGCAAAAUUUAAAAACUAAAGCAGAGUUUUUCCUGCGAGUUACGCACUGCGUAUCCCCUGUGGGAAAGAUCACGCUGGCUGCUGACCAAACUCCACCGGCCUCUUCCUCCGUCCUGAGGGCAUCUUCCUCCAUCCUGACAGCAGCCUGGGCUCACCUCAGUCCCAGG